rnacentral:rRNA from 1 species
UACGAAGGGGGCUAGCGUUGCUCGGAAUCACUGGGCUUAAAGGGCGCGUAGGCGGGCCGUCAAGUCGAGGGUGAAAUCCCCCAGCUCAACUGGGGAAGUGCCUCCGAUACUGGCGGCCUCGAGGGGGAUAGGGGCAUGCGGAACUUCCGGUGGAGCGGUGAAAUGCGUAGAUAUCGGAAGGAACACCGGUGGCGAAAGCGGCGUGCUGGAUCCCUUCUGACGCUGAGGCGCGAAAGCCAGGGGAGCGAACGGG